GCAGACACAUUCCAGCCAAUCAGCAGCAGACCCUCCCUCCCAGACCCUCCCACCUCCUGGACAGCAUCCAUUGUGAAGCUGCAUUCUUAGUGAGCUGUCCAGGAGGUGGGAGGGUCUUGGAGUGAGGGUCUGCUGCUGAUUGGCUGGAAUGUGUCUG